GAUGAACGCUGGCGGCGUGCCUAAUACAUGCAAGUCGAGCGAACAGACGAGGAGCUUGCUCCUCUGACGUUAGCGGCGGACGGGUGAGUAACACGUGGAUAACCUACCUAUAAGACUGGGCUAACUUCGGGAAACCGUAGCUAAUACUGGAUAAUAUAUUGAACCGCAUGGUUCAAUAAUGAAAGACGGUUUUGCUGUCAAUUAUAGCUGGAUCCGCGGCGCAUUAGCUAGUUGGUAAGGUAACGGCUUACCAAGGCAACGAUGCGUAGCCGACCUGAGAGGGUGAUCGGCCACACUGGAACUGAGACACGGUCCAGACGCCUACGGGAGGCAGCAGUAGGGAAUCUUCCGCAAUGGGCGAAAGCUUGACGGAGCAACGCCGCGUGAGUGAUGAAGGUCUUCGGAUCGUAAAACUCUGUUAUUAGGGAAGAACAAAUGUGUAAGUAACUAUGCACGUCUUGACGGUACCUAAUCAGAAAGCCACGGCUAACUACGUG
rnacentral:rRNA from 1 species